rnacentral:lncRNA from 1 species
UAACAUCUAACGAACUAAAUCUUAUUCGAGUUCGUUCUUCUCCUUAAUGGAGAAAUUUAUUUAUCUUAUGAUGCUUCUUUCCUUGAUAUCUUUCAAGAAAACUAUUCUAAAGUGUUACCAUUCCUUGGAUCAAAUCUAAGGAUGUAAUUACUUUAGAUGUCUUACUCAUCAACUUACAUUUCUUGAAUUCUUUGAAACAUUUUGCAAAGUAUUCGGACUUGUGUUUAUUUAAAAUAAACUAUAGUCCAACCGAGGGUGAUCUUCGGUGAAUGUCAUGCAACAUGAGUAGUAUUAUGUUGUGGACAAGUGCCACUAACAUCUAAGUGAAUUAACCUCAACAACUUUGUGAUUCUUUAUUCUUUCCAAAAGAAUAAAGAUUCAAACAUUUCGCCUCUAUACAAUUUUAAUAAGAAGGUAUUGGAUCCGGAUCUAACAAUCCAAAGCAUCCAUCUUUCACCAACUCAUAACGUAUGUUUUAGAGGUAUCACAACUUUAGUUGGGAUUAGUCACUACCUUGCAACCUUUUGGGUUUUAAG